CUGAUUUUGAUAUGGAGGUGCACAAUGAAUACUGGUGGAGGGGAGACAUUUUGGAGCAAGAACAUCAUGUAGGGAUUUUUCAGCUGCCUGAAGAGCGGAAUGCUGUAAAAUGCAGCAACUUUGUUCCUCUAACUCUUCCUCCAUAAGAGCGUGGUUGAUGUACUUCAAAACAGCAUCAGCUGAAGGAUAUUGAACAACUGGGUUCAUGAGUCCCGAAGAGGGAUUUCUAGUUGUUACCAGGAUUUUUUUUUUUUAAUAUUACCAGGAAUUGUUAAAAAAGAAAGAUGUAUAUAUAUGAAGUAAACAAACGUGAUAAUCAACAGGAACUGAAAAACU
rnacentral:misc_RNA from 1 species